GCUGUUCUGGAAUAACUGAUGAUAUGCUGAUCUUGUCCCAUGUACUGUACAUAUGUGAGAUUUGCAAUGAAAAAAAAAAUGCAGAACUGAAAAAAACUAGGUGAAAUUAGAAAAUUAACUGAACAAAUAUCAAAAUUUAUUUAACUGACUUUUGCCUUACAACCAGCUAGUACAGAAAAUAUUUGUAUUACUUGUAAUAAAUGUGUCAAGAUACAUAAGAAUAAAAUGAAUCUUGAAGUCAGUAGCACAGAACACAGUUAAAAUGCCUGAUUAUCUUUAUUAUUAUUGUCAAAAUUCCUGCCCCCAUCCCAUCAUUAUUGCCCAUUCUACCUCUUUGUUCCCUGUAGCCACAUUCCCUGCACUUUUAUAAAGCCCCGCAGUCAUUUGCCACUCUCCAUCCGUCCACCAGAUGUCCUCAGACUUUCUUCCUUUUCCAAGAUCCAUCUGCACACCUGUUCUCCAUUUCCUCUUACCAGAUCUGCCCACCUGUUUCCAUUUUGCUCAUUAGCUCCCUACAUAUAUACAAUCCCGGUAUUUGUUUCAUGCUCUGGGCUUUGGUAUUGCCCACCUGGGCCUGUUCUUGCCUCUGCCUGAGCCUGGUGAAGAGAGGAUAAUUGUCACAGAGACUGUGUGGGCAUCAGCUAUUGCACACAUUGACACUACAUUUGGUUCAUACAAGCUCGUCAGGUCGGGGUUCACAUCGCGGCCAUCUGGAUACAGGUGAGAUCGAUGGUUGAUUUCAGAGCCAUGGACUCCAUCCCCUCCUCAAAUGAAUGCACGUGCCGCAGCUGCUCUUUAAAAGUAUUCCACUGAACUACACACCUGUUAGAACACAGUGUUAACAGGUGUCACCCUGAAAACAUCCCCCUGGAAACAUGGCCUUCAGCUCCCACAGCAUGUGACUGAACAGCAAGAUUUGUUUACACACACAAAAUUGACUAAAGGCUCAUUUGAUUGUAUGAAAGACCUUCACCUCAGGGAGGAAAAGAAAACCUCUAUUGUGUUGAAGAGAAGAGAGUAAGUUGGGAGGAAAUGUGUAAGCCACAUCUCUUGCUCGGGGCGGGCCAGGUGCCAAAAAUAACAUUUAAGAGAUAGAAAGACAGAGGUGAAAUUGUGCAGCAUCACUACUGUAAAGUCCAAAAAUGUUUGCAUUUUUACUGAAUUGCAUAUGUACUGUACAAUGCACUGCAUCACAGCCAUCCUUUGUCUGGUUGAUUUACAUUUACUGUAACUGUGUUGUUGUUAGAGACUGUAUAUUUCUCAUCAAUGUGCCUGAAGAAGCUUGAUGUGAAACAUGUUUGAUUAAAAAAACUUUCUCAUGCAGAGAAGGAGAAUAGCUUCUGAACUCCUGCACACAAUGGGAGAAAUCUUCAGUAACACAACUUUGGAUGGCUAUUUUGCACUUCUUACACUCCAGUGAAAGCUUCCUUAUAUAUUUUCAGAAAUGGUAAGCAGAGUGUGAUCAUUUUACUUUACACCUGGUUCCCGAAGUACGGAAGAGGACUGGGGCCACUGUACAAAAUUUCAGUUCUGACUUUUUUCUCAGAAUUGUGACUUUUGUUAAAAAGUCAGUUUUACAGUCAGAAUUCAAAUUUUAAAGCCGUUAUUCUGAGAAAAAAAAAUCAGAACUCAAAUUUUGUACAGCGGCCCCCGUCCUCUUCCAUGCUGAAGCCAUCUCUGGGUCUAUAAAUUCAGCACCUCUCCCAACACCUAGGACAUGAUGCACUCAGUGUCAAUAACAAUAUUUAUCAGUGACAAAACUAAACCACAAUUAACAGCUGCAGAGCGCAGCAUUAACACUUAAAUAUAAAUUUGAGGCAUGUGAACUUUAGUUUUAUAUAAAGACUUGGACAGUCUUCAGGAGGCAGGCACAUAAUCCAGACACCCUAGACGGUGAAAAUAUAUAAAAGAAAAAUACCCAUCCACUGCUGUUUGUUCCAGGUUGGUUGUUCUUUCACUUCAACAUGGACAUAACAACGAGGUUCCUCUAUCCAAGGGAGACCAUUUGCAGUCAAAGUGUUCCAUUGUGCUGGCGUAGAAGUUAAAGAAUAAUCAACUGAGAAUGAAACGGCACAGUGUGGGUAUUCUUCAUUUAAUAUUCUUCUACUCCACCAAAAGUCAGAGAGAAAUAAUGUAGUUUUUUCUGACAGUUAUAAUUAUUUCUAAUAUUAAUUAUUUACAAAGAUUUUCCAUGAUGGGCUUUGAUGCAUUAUUAUAUAUUAAACUAACCGAAAGUACACAAAGUAGUUAAAAUUAGCUCCUCCUCCACGGCAACGACCCUGACUUUCAAUAUUUGUGUAUUUUGCUGAUAAGUAUACAGUCUUACUUCAGUAACAUUUUGAAUGCACCCCUUUUACUUGUAAUAUACUAUUACAAGUAAACGGUGAUAAAAAAUAUGAAUUAGCAAAAAUAAGCUCAAUUUCUUAAAUGAUGUAAUUACUAAUAAACAUACGUUGUUCUGCUCAUGGUUUUAGAUGUAUGUGAAACAAAGUUUGCACAUUUGUAUAUGCGUGACUUCUAAAUUUCAGUCACAGGAGGUCAAAAUUAUCAGACAACAAUCUUCUAUCUGCUAAACCUUCAACUGUCUGCUUCUGUGGCUUUCCGUCUAUUCUCACUUCUGUUUUAAGUUUCUUGUUAGUCUGGCAGAAAUGUCACUUACUAAAGGGCAACUAUUAUUUUAACCAUCCUAACCAAGAGUUAAGUGCCUUGAGAAAGAUAUUAAACAGACAUAUGGUUUACUGGCCUGAGUCUGUGGUUUAACAAGCCACAGAAAGAGGACAGUACAUUCUGAAAACACAGAAGGAUAUUUGCAUAAUUUGUCAUGAUAUCUAAGCCACAACACUAUGUGAAUUUGUCACAUCACUGCUCAUGCGGGCAUGACUCCUGUGAGAAGGCCAUCUGUUAUCUUGUGUGUACAGAAUAUUCUUGUAGACUAGGUAUAUUUUGAACAACAGA